CUGUAAGGUGGGAUAAUCUUUAUGUUCCUCUUUUCAGAGGGCAGAUAGAACAUGGUGAUUGGAGUGUGUAUGAUUUGUGAUUAACAUCUCUGCACGAUUAAGGCUCAUAGCACCCUAAUUACUUCUAUCUGAU